GACGUAGGGCGCGAGCGUUGUCCGGAAUUAUUGGGCGUAAAGAGCUCGUAGGCGGCUUGUUGCGUCGUCCGUGAAAUCCCGUGGCUCAACUGCGGGCUUGCGGACGAUACGGGCAGGCUAGAGUUCGGUAGGGGAGACUGGAAUUCCUGGUGUAGCGGUGAAAUGCGCAGAUAUCAGGAGGAACACCGGUGGCGAAGGCGGGUCUCUGGGCCGUAACUGACGCUGAGGAGCGAAAGCAUGGGGAGCGAACAGG
rnacentral:rRNA from 1 species